rnacentral:rRNA from 1 species
UACGGAGGUGGCAAGCGUUGUUCGGAAUUACUGGGCGUAAAGGGCGCGUAGGCGGCCUUCUAAGUCAGACGUGAAAUCCCCCGGCUUAACCUGGGAACUGCGUCUGAUACUGGGAGGCUUGAGUAUGGGAGAGGGAUGUAGAAUUCCAGGUGUAGCGGUGAAAUGCGUAGAUAUCUGGAGGAAUACCGGUGGCGAAGGCGGCAUCCUGGACCAUAACUGACGCUGAGGCGCGAAAGCUAGGGGAGCAAACAGG